rnacentral:rRNA from 1 species
UUGGAGGGCAAGUCUGGUGCCAGCAGCCGCGGUAAUUCCAGCUCCAAUAGCGUAUAUUAAAGUUGCUGCAGUUAAAAAGCUCGUAGUUGAAUUUCGGGACCAUCAUGUCGGUCGUGCCUCGGUACGUACUGGCAUUGUUGGUUUCUCCCUUCUGACGAACCAUGAUGUCAUUUAUUUGGUGUUGUGGGGAAUCAGGACUGUUACUUUGAAAAAAUUAGAGUGUUUAAAGCAGGCUCACGCUUGAAUACAUUAGCAUGGAAUAAUGAAAUAGGACGUUUGAUUCUAUUUUGUUGGUUUCUAGGAUCGACGUAAUGAUUAAUAGGGAUAGUUGGGGGCAUUAGUAUUCAAUUGUCAGAGGUGAAAUUCUUGGAUUUAUUGAAGACUAACUACUGCGAAAGCAUUUGCCAAGGAUGUUUUCAUUAAUCAAGAACGAAAGUUAGGGGAUCGAAGACGAUCAGAUACCGUCGUAGUCUUAACCAUAAACUAUGCCGACUAGGGAUCGGGUGAUGUUAAUUUUUUAAUGACUCAUUCGGCGCCUUACGGGAAAC